rnacentral:rRNA from 1 species
CCCUUAGAUGUUCUGGGCUGCACGCGCGCUACACUGAUGCGCUCAACGAGUUUAUGACCUUGCCCGGAAGGGUUGGGUAAUCUUCUUAAAACGCAUCGUGAUGGGGAUAGAUUAUUGCAAUUAUUAAUCUUCAACGAGGAAUUCCUAGUAAGCGCGAGUCAUCAGCUCGUGCUGAUUACGUCCCUGCCCUUUGUACACACCGCCCGUCGCUCCUACCAAUUGAGUGAUCCGGUGAAUAAUUCGGACUGCAGCAGUGUUCGGUCACGAACGUUGCAGCGGAAAGUUUAGUGAACCUUAUCACUUAGAGGAAGGAGAAGUCGUAACA